GACGAACCGUGCGAACGUUGUUCGGAAUCACUGGGCUUAAAGGGCGCGUAGGCGGACCACCAAGUCAGGGGUGAAAUCCUGCGGCUCAACCGUAGAAGUGCCUUUGAUACUGGUGGUCUCGAGGGAGGUAGGGGCGUGCGGAACUUCCGGUGGAGCGGUGAAAUGCGUAGAUAUCGGAAGGAACACCGGUGGCGAAAGCGGCGCGCUGGACCUCUUCUGACGCUGAGGCGCGAAAGCCAGGGGAGCGAACGGG
rnacentral:rRNA from 1 species